CAGGAGGUAGUUUAAAGAAAAUGAUAGCAUUGGAAGCUAUUGAUCAAUUCAUUUUGUCUUUUGA
rnacentral:tRNA from 1 species